rnacentral:lncRNA from 1 species
ACGGAGACGGCGAGGAGCGCAGGAGCGGAGGCGGGAUCGAGAGCGAGGACAUGGUCAGGAGCGGGGCAUUGCGCGGGGCGAGCGGGCGAGCGUGGCUUGGAUCUUGAGGGGAGGGGAGGCUGCUGGGUGGUGCUUACGUCGGCGGCGGAGUGGGGGCGGGGCGGGCGNCGGGGCGGGGCGGGGGGAGGGCCGGGGGAGCUGACGGGAGUGGAGGGGGACGAAGCUCCCAGCACAGCCUGGCCGCGCGCCCCGCGUGCGUGACGUGACGUGAUGGACUCGUGCACAGCCACUUCGCCCGGAGCAGAAAUAGGUGGUGCCACGGCGACGAGCACACCGGCUCAAAAAAAAGAAAGGCGGGUGUGGAUUUUAUUCUUUUACUAAUGUGUCACAUAUGUCAUUGCUAAUGAUGGUGAUUCACACACUCCCCUCACCCCUCCCCGCGUCGUCUCCUCUAAGGCGAUAACCCUAGCCGUCGUCGUCGCGCCCCUCCCCCCCCCUCCAUCCCCUCCCCCNNNNNNNNNNNNNNNNNNNNNNNNNNNNNNNNNNNNNNNNNNNNNNNNNNNNNNNNNNNNNNNNNNNNNNNNNNNNNNNNNNNNNNNNNNNNNNNNNNNNNNNNNNNNNNNNNNNNNNNNNNNNNNNNNNNNNNNNNNNNNNNNNNNNNNNNNNNNNNNNNNNNNNNNNNNNNNNNNNNNNNNNNNNNNNNNNNNNNNNNNNNNNNNNNNNNNNNNNNNNNNNNNNNNNNNNNNNNNNNNNNNNNNNNNNNNNNNNNNNNNNNNNNNNNNNNNNNNNNNNNNNNNNNNNNNNNNNNNNNCCUCCCCCUCCGUCGCCGCCUGAGGUGUGCUCCGGUGAGCGCGCUCCACACCGAUGAAGGUGGCGGCGAGGAUCUGGCGGUUCCACAACACGCAGAGGGCCUCGGCAUCUCGGGUGGUGACCACGGGUGGCGUGUGCAAGGUGGACAUGGCGGCGGGGUCGCCUCUGUUGGUGCUAGUGUUGGGGCGCCCUUGGUCAUGCGGGUGACGAGGCGUCGGCGACCCUCGGUUGCUGGUGUGCACCACUCCCCGCAGGUUUGCCACCGCCGAGGAAGCCCACCCCCUCCACCUCGAUCUGCUCCUUCCAACACCGGAUCGGGGUCCUAGUGGCUUAGGUCGCUGCUCCCGGUUGCUGGUUGUGCGGAUCUCGUUUGGUGGGGGAACCCGUGCCGACGCGGCGGCCACACCAAAGGCGACGCCUUGGGCACCGUUCCCCUCAUUGGAGGUUGUGGUGUGGAUCCUCUCCCCCUCCUUUCGUCCCCUGCUAGGUGAAAACUUAGGUCCCCUGCUUUGGGUGGUGACGGCACGUCUGUGUCGUAUUUCUUCUGUUGGAAAUAUGCCCUNNNNNNNNNNNNNNNNNNNNNNNNNNNNNNNNNNNNNNNNNNNNNNNNNNNNNNNNNNNNNNNNNNNNNNNNNNNNNNNNNNNNNNNNNNNNNNNNNNNNNNNNNNNNNNNNNNNNNNNNNNNNNNNNNNNNNNNNNNNNNNNNNNNNNNNNNNNNNNNNNNNNNNNNNNNNNNNNNNNNNNNNNNNNNNNNNNNNNNNNNNNNNNNNNNNNNNNNNNNNNNNNNNNNNNNNNNNNNNNNNNNNNNNNNNNNNNNNNNNNNNNNNNNNNNNNNNNNNNNNNNNNNNNNNNNNNNNNNNNNNNNNNNNNNNNNNNNNNNNNNNNNNNNNNNNNNNNNNNNNNNNNNNNNNNNNNNGUCCCUAGCAAGCCUCUAGUUGGCUAGCUAGUUGAUCAAGGAUGGUCAAGGUUUUUUGACCAUAUGCAAGUGUUAUCACUUGAUAACUGGAUCACAUCAUUAGGAGAAUCAUGUGAUGGACUAGACCCAAACUAUAAACGUAGCAUAUGAUCGUGUCAUUUUGUUGCUAUCGUUUUCUGCGUGUCAAGUAUUUAUUCCUAUGACCAUGAGAUCAUAUAACUCACUGACACCGGAGGAAUACCUUGUGUGUAUCAAACGUCGGAACGUAACUGAGUGACUAUACAGGUGCUCUACAGGUAUCUCCGAAGGUGUCCGUUGAGUUAGUAUGGAUCAAGAAUGGGAUUUGUCACUCCGUGUGACGGAGAGGUAUCUCGGGGCCCACUUGGUAAUACAACAUCACAAACAAGUCUUGCAAGCAAUGUGACUAAGUGUAAGUCACGAGAUCUUGUAUUACGGAACGAGUAAAGGGAAUUGCUGGUAACGAGAUUGAAAUAGGUAUACGGAUACCGACGAUCGAAUCUCAGGCAAGUAACAUACCGAAUGACAAAGGGAAUGACAUACGGGAUUAUAUGAAUCCCUGGCAUUGAGGUUCAACCGAUAAGAUCUUCGGAGAAUAUGUAGGAUCCAAUAUGGGCAUACAGGAACCGCUAUUGGAUAUUGACCGAGGAGUGUCUCGGGUCAUGUCUACAUAGUUCUCGAACCCGCAGGGUUUGCACACUUAAGGUUCGAUGAUGUUUUAGUAUAGUUGAGUUAUAUGUGUGGUUGCCGAAUGUUGUUCGGAGUCCCGGAUGAGAUCACAGACAUCACGAGGGUUUCCGGAAUGGUCCGGAAACGAAGAAUGAUAUAUAGGAUGGUUUCAUUUGGUCACCAAAAAGUUUCGGGCAUUACCAGCAGUGUACAGGGAGUGACGAAUGGGUUCCGGGUAUUCACCGGGAGGGGCCCACCCACCCGGGAGUGAGCCCAAUGACCCUAGGGUGGCGCACCAGCCCUUAGUGGGCUGGUGAGGCCAUCCCAAUAGGGCGAUGGUGCCACAAGUGGAAAAACACCAAAGGAAAGGGGGGAAAAGGAAAGAGGGAGGUGGGAAGGAAGGAGUGGACUCAUUCCCCCAAACCGAAUUAGAGUGGGAGUCCACCUCCUCCCCUUUGGUCGGCGCACCUUGGGGCUCCUUGAGCCCCAAGGCUAGCCCCUCCCCUCCUCCUAUAUAUACUGGUGGUUUUAAGGCUUUUGAGACACAACUUUGCCACGUGCAACUCAAAUCUAUACCACGUAGUUUUACCUCUAUAUCGGAUUUCUACGGAGCUCGGGCGGAGCCCUGCAGGAGUAGAUCAUCACCACCACCGGAGAGCUGCCACACUGCCGGAGAACUCAUCUACUUCUCCAUCUCUCUUGCUGGAUCAAGAAGGCCGAGAUCGUCAUCGAGCUGUACGUGUGCUGAAUGCGGAGGUGCCGUCCGUUUGGCGCUAGAUCGAAACAGAUCAUGGGACGGAUCGUGGGACGACGGUGAUUUGAAUCACGAAGCUAUACCACUACAUCAACCACGUUUCUUAACGCUUCCCGCUUAGCGAUCUACAAGGGUACGUAGAUCUAAUCUCCUCUUGUAGAUGGACAUCACCAUGAUAGGUCUUCGUGUGCGUAGGAAAAUUUUUGUUUCGCAUGCAACGUUCCCCAACAAUGGCAUCAUGAGCUAGGUUCAUGCGUAGAUGUUAUCUCGAGUAGAACACAAAAGGUUUUGUGGAUGUUGAUGUUCGAUUUGCUGCCCUCCUUAUUCUUUUCUUGAUUUCGUGGUAUUGUUGGAUUGAAGCGGCCCGGACCGACAUUACUCGUAUGCUUACGAGAGACUGGUUUCAUCGACUCACAUGCAACUCGUUGCAUAAAGAUGACUAGCGGGUGUCGGUUUCUUCAACUUUAGUUGAAUUGGUUUUAACCGAGGCGGUCCUUGGAGAGAGGUUAAAUAGCAAUUUGCACAUCUCCGUUGUGGUUUUUGCGUAAGUAAGAUGCGAUCAUACUAGAUACCUAUAGCAGCCACGUAAAACAUGCAACAACAAAUUAGAGGACGUCUAACUUGUUUUUGCAGGGUAUGCUUGUGAUAUGAUAUGGCCAAUGACGUGAUGUGAUAUAUUGGAUGUAUGAGAUGAUCAUGUUGUAAUAGUUAAUAUCGACUUCCACGUCGAUGCUACGACAACCGACAGGAGCUAUAGGGUUGUCUUUAAACUAACAUUUGUGUUUGCAGAUGCGUUUACUAUAUUGCUAGGUCGUAGCUUUAGUAGUAAUAGCAUAGAUAGCAUGACAACUUCGAUGGCGGCACGAUGAUGGAGAUCAUGAUGAUGGAUAUCAUGGUGUGGCGCCGGUGACAAGAAGAUUAUGUCGGUGCUUUGGUGAUGGAGAUCAAGAAGCACAAGAUGAGGCCAUAUCAUGUCACUUAUGAAUUGCAUGUGAUGUUAAUCCUUUUAUGCACCUUAUUUUGCAUAGAACGACGGUAGCAUUAUAAGGUGAUCUCUCACUAAAAUUUCAAGAUGAAAUUGUGUUCUCCCCGACUGUGCACCGUGGCGACAAUUCGUCGUUUCGAGACACCACGUGAUGAUCGGGUGUGAUCGACUCAACGUUCACAUACAACGGGUCCAAAACAGUUGCACACGUGGAACACUCGUGUUAAACUUGACGAGCCUAGCAUGUGCAGACAUGGCCUCGGAACACAUGAGACCGAAAGGUCGAGCAUGAAUCGUAUAGUUGAUAUGAUCAGCAUAGAGAUGCUUACCACUAAAACUAUUCUCAACUCACGUGAUGCUCGGACUUGAGUUAGUGAAUUUGGAUCAUGUACCACUCAAAUGACUAGAGAUAUGUAAUUUUUGAGUGGGAGUUUAUUAGUAAUUUGAUUAGUUAAACUCUAAUUAUCUUAAACAUAGUCUAAGUCCACUUUGCAAUAUUUGUGUUGUAGAUCAAUGGCUCACGCAGUAGCAACCCUGAAUUUUAAUACGUUCCUAGAGAAAGCUAAGUUGAAAGAUGAUGGAAGCAACUUUGUAGACUGGGCUCGUAAUCUAAAGCUGCUCCUACAAGCUGGGAAGAAGGAUUGUGUCCUUAAUGCUGCGCUAGGAGAUGAACCACCCGCUACGUCUAGCCAAGAUGUUUUGAACGAGUGGUUAACACGUAAGGAGGACUACUCAGUAGUUCAAUGUGUAGUCUUGUAUGGCUUGGAACCGGGACUUCAACGUCACUUUGAGCGUCAUGGAGCAUAUGAGAUACUAGAGCAGUUGAAGUUUAUCUUUUAGAAGAACGCACAGAUCGAGAGGUAUGAGACCUUCGAUAAAUUAUAUGCUUGCAAGAUGGAGGAGAAUUCGUCUGUUAGUGAACAUGUGCUCAAAAUGUCUGGAUACUCAAACCGUCUAGCUGAGCUGGGGAUUGAACUCCCACAAGAGGCUAUCACUGAUAGAAUUAUUCAAUCACUGCCACCUAGCUAUAAGAGCUUUGUGUUGAACUAUAACAUGCAAGGGAUGAACAAGUCACCUCGCGAGUUAUUCGCGAUGCUGAAAGUCACAGAGUCAGAACUCCGGAAAGAGCAUCAAGUGUUGAUGGUCAAUAAGACCACUGGUUUCAAGAGAAACGACAAAGGCAAGAAGGGUAACUCCAAGAAGAGCGGCAAGCCUGUUGCCAAUCCGACGAAGAAACCCAAGGAUGGACCUAAGCCUGAAACAGAGUGUUACUAUUGCAAGGGAAUGGGUCACUAGAAGCGCAACUGCCCCAAGUAUUUGGCUGAUAAGAAGGCGGCCAAGGAAAAAUCAGGUAUAUUUGAUAUAGAUGUUAUUGAUGUGUACUUAACCAACUCUCGUAGUAGUGCCUGGGUAUUUGAUACGGGUUCUGUUGCUCAUAUUUGCAACUCGAAGCAGGAACUGCGGAAUAAACAAAGGAUGGCGAAAGGACGAAGUGACGAUGCGCGUGGGAAAUGGUUCCAAGGUUUAUGCAAUCGCCGUCGGCAUAGUCUCACUUCAGUUACCAUCAGGAUUAGUUAUGAACUUAAAUAAUUUUUAUUUAGUGCCUGCGUUAAGCAUGAACAUUAUAUAUGGAUCUUGUUUAUUGCGAGACGGUUACUCGUUUAAGUCAGAGAAUAAUGGUUGUUCUAUUUCUAUGAGUAAUAUCUUUUAUGGUCAUGCACCCAAUGUGUGACGAUUGUUCAUAUUGAAUCUUGAUAGCAAUGAUACACAUAUACAUAACAUUGAGACCAAAAGAUGUAGAGUUAACAAUGAUAGCGCCAUGUUUUUGUGGCACUGCCGCUUAGGUCAUAUUUGUGUAAAGCGCAUGAAGAAACUCCAUUCCGAUGGGCUUUUGGAGUCACUUGAUUUUGAAUCACUUGACACGUGCGAACCAUGCCUCAUGGGCAAGAUGACUAAGACUCCGUUCUCCGGAACAAUGGAGCGUGCAAGUGACUUGCUGGAAAUCAUACAUACCGAUGUGUGCGGUCCGAUGAGUGUGGAGGCGCGCGGCGGAUAUCGUUAUUUUCUCACCUUCACUGACGAUUUGAGUAGGUAUGGAUAUAUCUACUUGAUGAAGCACAAGUCUGAAACGUUUUAGAAGUUCAAGGAAUUUCAGAGUGAAGUUGAAAAUCAUCGUAACAAGAAGAUCAAGUUCCUACGUUCUGAUCGUGGGGGUGAAUAUCUGAGUUUCGAGUUUGGUGCUCACCUAAGACAAUGUGGAAUUGUUUCACAGUCAACACCGCCUGGAACACCACAACGUAAUGGUGUGUCCGAACGUCGUAAUCGUACUUUGUUAGAAAUGGUGCGACCUAUGAUGUCUCUUACCGAUUUGCCGUUAUCGUUUUGGGGUUAUGCAUUAGAGACAACUGCAUUCACUUUAAAUAGGGCACCAUCAAAAUCCGUUGAGACGACACCAUACGAGCUGUAGUAUGGCAAAAGACUAAAGUUGUCGUUUCUUAAAGUUUGGGGAUGUGAUGCUUAUGUCAAAAAACUUCAGCCUGAAAAGCUGGAACCCAAAGCGGAAAAGUGCGUCUUCAUAGGUUACCCAAAGGAGACAGUUGGGUACACCUUCUAUCUCAAAACCGAGGGCAAAGUGUUUGUUGCUAAGAACGGAGCUUUUCUUGAGAAGGAGUUUCUCUCGAAAGAAUUGAGUGGGAGGAAGAUAGAACUUGAUGAGGUUGUCGAACCUCUAAUCCCUCUAGAUGGUGGCACAAGGCAGGGGAACCUUUGUCGAAGCGAUGCCGGUUGAGGAGGAAGUUAAUGAUGAUGAUCAUGAAACUUCGGAUCAAGUUCCUAUCGGACCUCGCAGGUCGACAAGAUCACGUACUACUCCUGAGUGGUACGGUAAUAUUGGCUUAUCAAUCAUGUUGUUAGACAACAAUGAACCUGCGAAUUAUGAAGAAGCAAUGGUGGGCCCGGAUUCCAACAAAUGGCUGGAGGCCAUGAAGUACGAUAUAGGAUCUAUGUAUGAAAACAAAGUGUGGACUUUGGAAGUAUUACCUGAAGGCCGCAAGGCUAUUCAGAACAAAUGGAUCUUUAAGAAGAAGACGGACGCAUACGGUAAUGUGACCGUUUAUAAAGCUCGACUUGUGGCAAAGGGUUUUUCACAAGUUCAAGGAGUUGACUACGAUGAGACAUUCUCACCGGUAGCGAUGCUUAAGUCCGUCGGAAUCAUGUUAGCAAUAGCUACAUAUUUCGAUUAUGAAAUCUGGCAGAUGGAUGUCAAAACGGCGUUCCUUAACGGUUUUCUUAAGGAAGAGUUGUAUAUGAUGCAACACGAAGGUUUUGUCGAUCCAGAGAAUGCUAGCAAAGUAUGCAAGCUCCACCGAUCCAUUUAUGGACUGGUGCAAGCAUCUCGGAGUUGGAAUAAGCGCUUUGAUGAGGUGAUCAAAGCAUUUGGGUUUACACAAGUGGUUGGAGAAUCUUGUAUUUACAAGAAAGUGAGUGGGAGCUUUGUGGCAUUUCUAAUAUUACAUUUAUAUUUGGAUGACAUAUUGCUGAUUGCAAAUGACGUGGGGUUUUUUGGAGAGCGUAAAGGAUUACUUGAAUAAAAGUUUCUCUAUGAAGGACCUAGGAGAAGCUGCUUACAUUCUAGGCAUUAAGAUCUAGAGGGAUAGAUCGAGAUGUCUGAUAGGACUUUCACAAAGCACAUACCUUGAUAAAGUUUUGAAGAAGUUCAAAAUGGAACAGUCCAAGAAGGGGUUCUUGUCAGUGUUACAAGGUAUAAAAUUGAGUAAGACUCAGUGCCCAGCAACUGCGGAAGAUAGAGAACAGAUGAGUUCCGUCCCCUAUGCUUCAGUCAUAGGUUUUGUCAUGUAUGCAAUGUUAUGCACUAGACCGGACGUCAGCUUGGCCAUAAGUAUGGCAGGCAGGUUUCAAAGUAAUCCAGGAGUGGAUCACUGGAUGACGGUCAAUAAUAUUCUGAAGUACCUUAAAAGGACUAAGGAAAUGUUUCUCGUUUAUGGAGGUGACGAAGAGCUCGUCGUAAAGGGUUACGUCGACGCAAGCUUUGACACUAAUCCGGAUGACUCUAAGUCUCAAACCAGAUACAUAUUUAUUCUUAAUGGGGGUGCGGUAAGCUGGUGCAGUUCCAAGCAAAGCAUCAUAGCAGAUUCUACAUGUGAAGCGGAGUACAUGGUUGCCUCAGAGGCAGCUAAGGAGGGUGUCUGGAUGAAGCAGUUCAUGAGGGAUCUUGGAGUUGUGCCGAGCGCACUAAAUCCAAUAACUAUGUUCUGUGACAACACUGGUGCCAUUGCUUUAGCAAAGAAACCAAGGUUUCACAAGAAGACCAGGCACAUCAAACGACGCUUCAACCUCAUCCACGACUACGUCGAAGGAGAGGACGUAAAUAUUUGCAAAGUGCACACGGAUCUGAAUGUAGCAGAUCCGCUGACUAAACCUCUUCCACGGGCAAAACAUGAUCAACACCAGAAAUGUAUGGGUGUUAGAUUUAUUACAAUGUAAAUCGCAUGGCGAUGUGAGGACUAGAUUAUUGACUCUAGUGCAAGUGGGAGACUGUUGGAAAUAUGCCCUAGAGGCAAUGAUAAAAUAGUUAUUACUAUAUUUCCUGUUUUAAGAUAAUCGUUUAUUAUCCAUGCUAUAAUUGUAUUGAAUGAAAACAUAGAUACAUAUGUGGAUACAUAGACAAAACAAUGUCCCUAGCAAGCCUCUACUUGGCUAGCCAGUUGAUGAAGGAUGGUCAAGGUUUUCUGACCAUAUGCAAAUGUUGUCACUUGAUAACUGGAUCACAUCAUUAGGAGAAUCAUGUGAUGGACUAGACCCAAACUAUAAACGUAGCAUGUGAUCGUGUCAUUUUGUUGCUAUUGUUUUCUGUGUGUCAAGUAUUUAUUCCUAUGACCAUGAGAUCAUAUAACUCACUGACACUAGAGGAAUACCUUGUGUGUAUAAAACGUGGCAACGUAACUGGGUGACUAUAAAGGUGCUCUACAAGUAUCUCCGAAGGUGUCUGUUAGUUAGUAUGGAUCAAGACUGGGAUUUGUCACUCCGUGUGACGGAGAGGUAUCUCGGGGCCCACUCGAUAAUACAACAUCACAAACAAGCCUUGAAAGCAAUGUGACUAAGUGUAAGUCACAGGAUCUUGUAUUACGGAACGAGUAAAGAGACUUGCCGGUAACGAGAUUGAAAUAGGUAUACGGAUACCGACGAUCGAAUCUUGGGCAAGUAACAUACGGAAGGACAAAGGGAAUGACAUACGGGAUUAUAUGAAUCCCUGGAACUGAGGUUCAACCGAUAAGAUCUUCGGAGAAUAUGUAGGACCCAAUAUGGGCAUCCAGGUCCCGCUAUUGGAUAUUGACCGAGGAGUGUCUCGGGUCAUGUCUACAUAGUUCUCGAACCCGCAGGGUCUGCACACUUAAGGUUCGAUGAUGUUUUAGUAUAGUUGAGUUAUAUGUGUGGUUGCUGAAUGUUGUUCAGAGUCCCGGAUAAGAUCACAGACGCCACGAGGGUUUCCAGAAUGGUCCGGAAACAAAGAUUGAUAUAUAGGAUGGUUUCAUUUGGUCAUCGGAAAGUUUCGGGCGUUACGACAGUGUACCCGGAGUGACGAAUGGGUUUCGGGUAUUCACUGGGAGGGGCCCACCCACUCGAGAGUGAGCCGAGUGACCCUAGGGUGGUGCACCAGCCCUUAGUGGGCUGGUGAGGCCAGCCCAAUAGGGCCAUGGCACCACAAGUGGAAAAACACCAAAGGAAAGGAAAAAAGGACAGAGGGAGGUGGGAAGGAAGGUGUGGACUCCUUCCCCCAAACCGAAUUGGGGUGGGAGUCCACCUCCUCCCCUUCAAUCGACGCAGCUUGGGGCUCCUUGAUCCCCAAGGCUAGCCCCUCCCCUCCUCCUAUAUAUACUGGUGGUUUUAGGGCUUUUGAGACACAACUUUGCCACCUGCAACUCAAACCUAUACCACAUAGUUUUACCUCUAGAUCGGAUUUCUGCGGAGCUCGGGCGGAGCCGUGCAGGAGUAGAUCAUCACCACCACCAGAGCGCCGUCACGCUGCCGGAGAACUCAUCUACUUCUCCGUCUCUCUUGCUCGAUCAAGAAGGUCGAGAUCGUCAUCGAGCUGUACGUGUGCUGAACACGGAGGUGUCGUCCGUUCGGCGCUAGAUCGGAACGGAUCGUGGGACAGAUCGUGGGAUGACGGUGAUUUGAAUCACGAAGUUGUACCACUACAUCAACCGCAUUUCUUAACGCUUUCUACUUAGCGAUCUACAAGGGUACGUAGAUCUAAUCUCCUCUCGUAGAUGGACAUCACCAUGAUAGGUCUUCGUGUGCGUAGGAAUUUUUUGUUUCCCAUGCAACCUUCCCCAACAGUGGCAUCAUGAGCUAGGUUCAUGCGUAGAUGUUAUCUCGAGUAGAACAAAAGGUUUUGUGGACGUUGAUGUUCGAUUUUCUGCCCUCCUUAGUCUUUUCUCGAUUCGGCAGUAUUGUUGGAUUGAAGCGGCCCGGACCGACAUUACUCGUACGCUUACGAGAGACUGGUUUCAUCGACUGACAUGCAACUCGUUGCAUAAAGAUGACUAGCGGGUGUCGGUUUCUUCAACUUUAGUUGAAUUGGUUUUGACCGAGGCGGUCCUUGGAGAGAGGUUAAAUAGCAAUUUGCACAUCUCCGUUGUGGUUUUUGCGUAAGUAAGAUGCAAUCAUACUACAUACCCAUAGCAGCCACGUAAAACAUGCAACAACAAAUUAGAGGACGUCUAACUUGUUUUUGAAGGGUAUGCUUGUGAUAUGAUAUGGCCAAUGACGUGAUGUAAUAUAUUGGAUGUAUGACAUGAUCAUGUUGUAAAAGUUAAUAUCUACUUGCACGUCGAAUCUACGGUAACCAGCAAAAGCCAUAGGGUUGUCUUUAAACUAAUGUUUGUGUUUGCAGAUGCGUUUACUAUAUUGCUAGGUUGUAGCUUUAGUAGUAAUAGCAUAGAUAUCACGACAACCUCAAUGGCGGCACGAUGAUGGAGAUCAUGAUGAUGGAGAUCAUGGUGUGGCGCCGGUGACAAGAAGAUCAUGUUGGUGCUUUGGUUAUGGAGAUCAAGAAGCACAAGAUGAUGGCAUGUCACUUAUGAAUUGCAUGUGAUGUUAAUCCUUUUAUGCACCUUAUUUUGCUUAGAACGACGGUAGUAUUAUAAGGGGAUCUCUUACUAAAAUUUCAAGAUGAAAUUGUGUCUCCCCGACUGUGCACCGUUGCGACAGUUCAUCAUUUCGAGACACCACGUGAUGAUCGGGUGUGAUAGACUCAACGUUCACAUACAACGGGUCCAAAACAGUUGCACAAGCGGAACACUCGGGUUAAACUUGACAAGCCUAGAAUGUGCAGACAUGGCCUCGGAACACAUGAGACCGAAAGGUCGAGCAUGAAUCGUAUAGUUGAUAUGAUUAGCAUAGAGAUGCUUACCACUGAAACUAUUCUCAACUCACGUGAUGAUCGGACUUGAGUUAGUGAAUUUGGAUCAUGUACCACUCAAAUGACUAGAGAGAUGUACUUUUUGAGUGGGAGUUUAUCAGUAAUUUGAUUAGUUAAACUCUAAUUAUCUUAAACAUAGUCUAAGUUCACUUUGCAAUAUUUGUGUUGUAGAUCAAUGGCUCACGCAGUAGCAACCCUGAAUUUUAAUACGUUCCUAGAGAAAGCUAAGUUCAAAGAUGAUGGAAGCAACUUUGUAGACUAGGCUCGUAAUCUAAAGUUGCACCUGCAAGCUGGGAAGAAGGAUUAUGUCCUUAAUGUUGCGCUAGGAGAUGAACCACCCGCUAUGUCUAGCCAAGAUGUUUUGAACGCCUGGUUAACACGUAAGGAGGACUACUCAAAAGUUCAAUCUGUAGUCUUGUAUGGCUUGGAACCGGGACUUCAAUGUCGCUUUGAGCAUCAUGGAGCAUAUGAGAUGUUCCAGGAGUUGAAGUUUAUCUUUCAUAAGAACGCCCAGAUCGAGAGGUAUGAGACCUCCGAUAAAUUCUAUGCUUGCAAGAUGGAGGAGAAUUCGUAUGUCAGUGAACAUGUGCUCAAAAUGUUUGGGUACUCAAAUCGUCUAGCUGAGCUGGGGAUUGAACUCCCGCAAGAGGCUAUCACUGACAAAAUUCUUCAAUCAUUGCCACCUAGCUAUAAGAGCUUUGGGUUGAACUAUAACAUGCAAUGGAUGAACAAGUCACCUGACGAGUUAUUCGCGAUGCUGAAAGUCGCAGAGGCGGAACUCCGAAAAGAGCAUCAAGUGUUGAUGGUCAAUAAGACCACUGGUUUCAAGAGAAACGGCAAAGGCAAGAAGGGUAACUCCAAGAAGAGUGGCAAGCGUGUUGCCAAUCCGACGAAGAAACCCAAGGCUGGACCUAAUCCUGAAACAGAGUGUUAUUAUUGGGAAUGGGUCACUGGAAGCGCAACUGCCCCAAGUAUUUGGCUGAUAAGAAUGCGGCCAAGGAAAAAUUAGGUAUAUUUGAUAUACAUGUUAUUGAAGUGUACUUAACCAACUCUCGUAGUAGUGCAUGGGUAUUUGAUACCGGUUCUGUUGCUCAUAUUUGCAACUCGAAGCAGGAACUGCGGAAUAAACGAAGGCUGGCGAAGGAUGAAGUGACGAUGCGCGUGGGAAAUGGUUCCAAGGUUGAUGCAAUCGCCGUUGGCAUAGUCUCACUUCAGUUACCAUCAGGAUUAGUUAUGAACUUAAAUAAUUGUUAUUUAGUGUCUGUGUUAAGCAUGAACAUUAUAUUUGGAUCUUGUUUAUUGCACCGUCCGGGAAUCGCAGGGGCGGCGAGAGAGUUUGGUUGUGGAUGUGAUGAUGGCGGGGGUGAGCUUGGAUUGUGUUAUUCAUUAUCUCUUCAUAGGUUGCAGGCUUCGAGGGUCCGUGACGUGGUCGCCGGAGCGAGAGGGUAUCGGGUUCCCCUCUACGAUGCCAACGGUAUACCUUUUGGUAGGAGCCAUGUGCUUUGGAGAUUCAAGUUCUCGCGUUUGACCUGCUCAUAGUUGUGCCCCUUGCUUCUGUGACUAUGACCGGUAGCUCUCGCCCUUCGGUGUGUCUACGCCACAGACGACGACGAUGCUCGUGAGUACCGUGUCCCGGGCUUGUGGGUGUGCUCUACUUACUUCUUCCUAUUCAGCUUGGAUGCCAACCAUUUGGGUUCUAGGGUGAACCAAGCUGUCGGAUGUCGGUGCUGCAUCCUUUGAGCCAGGAUGAAAGGGAAGGUUCCCUUUGCAGCGGCGGUAACAAAUGGUGGUCUGGUCCAUUUCUGUCUUCGAGGGUGGUUGUGAUCACGAAGCUUGCGCGAUUAUGCAUUCUUCCCUAGCACAGAGUUUAGUUUUGUUGGUGUAGGUCGUCCUGUAGGAUGUUAGCUGCAGUGUGGUGAUGUUUCGGCCCGCUUUUGUUGUUGCCUUCAGUAGUUGUGGCCUUUAUGAACUUGUGGCGUUUCAUGGCCGCAAAAUCUAAGUACUGAAUAGGAAGAAUAGGGUCACUAGACUGCGAUGACACACUACACUUAGAUAAACGGGAGGCAUAAAUCCUGCCAUAAAAAUGGCCGCUGUCAGAGUUGCAUUGCAAUGUGCAUGCUAGGAUUGCUCCAAGAUUAUAGCAUUUAAUUACAGUUAGCACAAUAUGUAGGAGACUCAAGUCUGGGGCACAUAAGGUACUACAAUCCUGCUUGCCCACUAUGCAUUUUCCAUUAAAGAGUGCAAGGUAACAAAUUGAAGGAGUAUGCAUGCUAUUUAUUCUACCUUUAGUUACUCCCCUAUCCUCACUAAAGCAAAGACUAGUUAAAAAUGCAUCAUAUUUGGAUUUUGGUGGUUCGCCUAGAGAACCCCAAGAUGGAAUUUUACAUGCAUGAGAUAAAUCAUCUAGAGACAAGGUGAAGGCAUUAUCAUAGAGGUUAAAGGAGACUCUAAAUCUUCGAGGAUAAAAUUUAAACCCCUUAGUGAAAGUUUUGGUAUGAUAAUGUUGCGCGCACUUAUCUGAGAUGAAGGGUGCGAGAUCAGUAUUAUGAAUGUAUUGUUCAAACUCUUCCCUAAUGCCCGCGCACAACAUGAAGCCAUCACUUGGCCAAAGGCACGAUUUGGUGUGGGCUUCUCGCAUCAAGCUUUCACUUGGCUCAGCAUAAGACCGUUGUAUCGGAGCCUCACUCGAAGAUGCCUCCGAGGACUUCCUCCUCAAAGAAUUCCUCUUGAACCAUCUCAUUAUUCCUAUGUACAAAUUUUUGAAUUUUUUGGGUCACAACAUAAAGUUAACAAAACUUCACAAGAAUGAUUGCAACUACUCAUAAGGAUGCCUAGAGCCUAAAACAAGCAUUCAAACUACUUGGAACUUCAAGAAUUUGACAUGCAAGCUCAUCUACAGCAGCACCUAGAGUAUCUAAUUACUUCUUAGAUAAACUACUAAAUCAAGAACUAAUUCGAGGAGUGGGGAAGUUUCAUACCAAGGAGUAAUCCCCCAAAACAGUUUCAGAAAUGGAGUUUCGAGCAAAGAGAUCAAAACCCGCGAGUUUGAGAGCAAGAACACGGGAGAGAGAGAUACAAGGAUUUUUCGUGGAGGUAGGUCAUGAAGUGAGCUGAAGGGAUAAGUGAGGGGACCCCGAGGGGUCCACUACCCACUAGGGCGCGCCUCGUGGGGGUGGCGCGCCUCGUGGGGGUGGCGCGCCCUGGUGUCUAGUGGACACCUCGGACACCCCCCCUGUGAUGUUUUUAGUGCCACAUAUUCUCAAAUAUUCAGAAAAAAAAUCAUGUGAAAGUUUCAGGUCAUUUGGAGAACUUUUAUUUUGGGCACUUUUUAUUGCACAAAAGAUUUUAAAAAAAAGAUAAGCAUGGCAUUUAUUGUAUUUAAAUAAAAAUAACAUGAAAAUAAAGUGGGUAUAGAAAGUUGUGCCUACUAAAUUCAUCGACCUCAUGCCUCUCGAAAAUGAUCCAUUAACAAGGUUGAUCAAGUCUUAUUAACAACCACUUCCAAUUAGCAUGAACCCGAAGAAUUUUCGUAAAACACUAAGUUACCUCAACGGGGAUGUGCAUAUCCCCAACAAUAAGUAUUUCAUAUUUAUUUUUGGUUGUAGGUAGAGGUAGUUGAAAACUUCCAUUGGUUAUAGUCGGAGAUUUUUCAAUAACAUUAACACCAUUCACUUGGAAUUGUUUCCUCGGAAAAUGCACUGUAUGUUCUUUACCAUUGACAUGUUAAGUGACUUUGCUUUUAUUGCAAUCAAUAAUAUCCCGUGUAGUAUUUAAGAAAGGUCUACGAAGGAUAAUCGACAUGUUGUCAUCCUCAUGCAUAUCAAGUAUAACAAAGUCUGUCAAGAUAGUAACAUUUGCAACAACAACGGGUACAUCCUCACAAAUACCAAUAGGUAUGGCACUUGAUUUGUCACCCAUUUGCAAUGAAAUUUCAGUAGGUGUGAGUUUAUUCAAGUCAAGUCUUUUGAAUAAAGAGACAUGCAUAAUACUAACACCACCUCCUAGAUCACAUAAAGCAGUUUUCACAUAGUUUCUUUUGAUGGAACAUGGUACAGUUGGUAUUCCUGGAUCUCCUAGUUUUUUUGGUACUCCAUCCUUAAAAUAGUAAUUAGCAAGCAUGAUGUAGAUUUGAGAUUCAAGUAUUUUCCUUUUAUUAGUGAUGAUACCUUUCAUAUACUUAGCAUAAGGGGGCAUAUUUAAAAGAUCAGUUAAACGAGUACGCAAAAGACUGGCUUAAGCAUUUCAGCAAAGCGUUCAAAUUCUUCAUCAUCUUUUUUCUUAGUUGGUUUAGGUGGAUAAGGCAUGCAUUUUUGAACCCAUGGCUCUCUUUCUUUGACAUGCUUUCUAGCAAAAAAAUCUCUUAGGUUGUGGGUUAUCAAGAUCAACAAUAGGGUUUGUCUCAACAUCAUUAUCUGGUUCUUUAUCAUUAUUAGGUUGAGCAUGUACAUGAGCAUCAUCAUUAUCAUUUUCAUUAUCACUAGGUGAAUGCUCACUACCAUAUUGAGUUUCAGCAUCACAAAUAGAGAUAUCAUUUGCAUUAUCAGAAGGUUUUUCCGCUUCAGGUUCACUAGAAGUAUGCAAGAUCCUAUCAUUUUUCUUUUUAUUUUUCCUCCUAGAAGGACUAGGUGUAUCAAUAUUAAUUCUUUGUAAAUCUUGUUCAUUUCUUUUAGGAUGGCCUUCUGGAUAUAGUGGAUCUUGAGUCAUUGUUCCUCCUCUAGUCAUUACUCUAACAACAUGAUCAUUCAUAUUAUUAUUCAUUUCAUGAAGUAGCUCACUUUGGGAUUUAGCAACUUGUUAUAGUUGGGUUUGAACCAUAGAAGCAUGUGAAAAGGACGUGGAUGUCGCCUAGAGGGGGGGUGAAUAGGCGCUUUAAAAUAGUUAAGGUUUAGGCUUGAACAAAUGCGGAAUAAAACUAACGUUUAAUAUGUCAAGCACAAAACCCAAAAAACAACUAGGCUCACCUAUGUGCACCAACAACUUAUGCUAAGCAAGAUAAACAACUAAGUGAUAGCAAGAUAUAUUACAAUAAACAAUAUGUCUAUCACAAAGUAAAGUGCAUAAGUAAAUGGUUCGGGUAAGAGAUAACCGAGGCACGGGGAGACGAUGAUGUAUCCCAAAGUUCACACCCUUGCGGAUGCUAAUCUCCGUUAGAGCGGUGUGGAGGCACAAUGCUCCCCAAGAUGCCACUAAGGCCACCGUAAUCUCCUCACGCCCUCGCACAAUGCAAGGUGCCGUAAUUCCACUAAGGGACCCUUGAGGGCGGUCACCGAACCCGUACAAAUGGCAACCCUUGGGGGUGGUCACCGAACCCGUACAUGUGGCAACCCUUGGGGGCGGUUACCGGUACCCGUACAAAUUGCUCGGGGCAAUAUCCACAACCUAAUUGGAGACCCCGACGCUUCCCGGAGCUUCACACCACACUGAUUGAGCUCCGAGACACCACCAAGCUUCUAGGACGCCAAAGCAUCCACGAAGAACAAUAUCAAGGGUACUAAGUACCAAAGGUAGCAAGCUUCUCAACUUCUCACUUCCACGUAUCACCGUGGAGAACUCAAACCGAUGCAACUAAUGCAAUGGCAAGAACACACGAAGUGGUCAAGUCCCUCACACUCAAAUCCCUCCACAACACCAAAAGCUAUGGAGAAAUAUGAGAGGAAGAACAAGGAGCUCACAAAGAACUCCAAGAUCAAGAUCCAAGGGGUUCCCCUCACAUAGAGGAGAAAGUGAUUGGUGGAGAUGUGGAUCUAGAUCUCCUCUCUCUUUUCCCUCAAGAACAAGCAAGAAUCAUUGGAGGGAUAGAGAGUAAUCAAGCUCUAAGAAUGUCAACAAUGGAGGUAGAACAAGAGCUCAACGGAUGGAUAAGACCAAGGGGGAAGAAGACCCCCUUUAUAUAGUGGGGGAAAGAAUCAGACUGUUACCCCCACUCUCUGCCCGAGCUCCAGCGGUACUACCGCUGGCUGCAGCGGUACUAGUGGGGGAAAGAAUCAGACUGUUACCCCCACUCUCUGCCCGAGCUCCAGCGGUACUACCGCUGGCUGCAGCGGUACUACCGCUGGCACUCCAGCGGUACUACCGCCAGCUAGCGGUACUACCGCUGGCUGCAGCGGUACUACCGAUGGCACUCCAGCGGUACUACCGCUGGCCCCAGCGGUACUACCGCUGGGCCCCUGGUAGUGCAAGGGCACUACCACCGCGAAGAAAGUCUUCACAAAAAGGUCCGUCCACGAACAACCGCUAGGCAGGCGGUACUAAGAUCCUGGAGCGGUACUACCGUUGACCAGGGGCGGUACUACCGCUAGGGCCAGCGGUACUACCGCCAACUCUAGCGGUACUACCGCUAGGUCCAGCGGUACUACCGCUCGCCACUGAAACAACCAUAACUUUUGCAUACGAGCUCCGAAUCGAGCAAACCCAAGCUUGUUGGAUUCAGGACGACAAGGGCUAUCCAAACAGCGACCCAAGCUUGUUNNNNNNNNNNNNNNNNNNNNNNNNNNNNNNNNNNNNNNNNNNNNNNNNNNNNNNNNNNNNNNNNNNNNNNNNNNNNNNNNNNNNNNNNNNNNNNNNNNNNGGAUGGGAGGGGGGGGGGAGGGCGCGACGACGACGGCUAGGGUUAUCGCCUUAGAGGAGACGACGCGGGGAGGGGUGAGGGGAGUGUGUGAAUCACCAUCAUUAGCAAUGACAUAUGUGACACAUUAGUAAAAGAAUAAAAUCCACACCCGCCUUUCUUUUUUUUGAGCCGGUGUGCUCGUCGCCGUGGCACCACCUAUUUCUGCUCCGGGCGAAGUGGCUGUGCACGAGUCCAUCACGUCACGUCACGCACGCGGGGCGCGCGGCCAGGCUGUGCUGGGAGCUUCGUCCCCCUCCACUCCCGUCAGCUCCCCCGGCCCUCCCCCCGCCCCGCCCCGCCCCGCCCCCACUCCGCCGCCGACGUAAGCACCACCCAGCAGCCUCCCCUCCCCUCAAGAUCCAAGCCACGCUCGCCCGCUCGCCCCGCGCAAUGCCCCGCUCCUGACCAUGUCCUCGCUCUCGAUCCCGCCUCCGCUCCUGCGCUCCUCGCCGUCUCCGUCUCCACCCGCGAAUUGGAGGAGGCGCGCGGCGCGCGUGCGGGUGCGCGCUCCGGUGGCGGCACUGGCCGGCGACGGCGGGUGCGCGGGGACCGGGAUGGAGCAGCAGCACCUCCAGGCAGGGAGCGCCUCCGGCAGCCCAGGUUCGUUGGGACGGUGAUUCGGUUGGCUGCGGGGGUCCGCGUGUCAGUGACGCCAGAAUCUGUGGAAUCUCCGGAAGGGGUCGCUUAGGAUAGUGGGGCUGGAAUCUCGUGUCCUAUCCACUUCGCUGCUUUAUUAUCACACAAAGUAGGCUGAUAAGGGGUCGCCUAGUGCCAGCCUUCUGUGUCCCGAUCAGGAGCUGAUACUGAUCAAACGUAGUACUACUAGGACUCGAGGACGUUCACUGCUGCUAGAAAUAGAAUAGUGGUGGAACUAAAUUUGUGUGGAACUAUAAUUAAGCGUUUGAGCCAGUGGCACAAUUCACAGCAAUGCUGUUGGAUUUGUUAGUUUCGGUGGAGGGAAAGAAUGAACUCUGCGUAAUUGCUUGUGACAUGUAGUUUCGGUCUGAUGGACCUGAAGUCAUCUACUUGGUGUAUGAACUAGUGAAGGUACAGUUGCCUGUAUUGUAGAGGUAUAAUAUACCGGCAAUUUAUGGUGACUGCGCGUGACGUAGUUAUGGCCUCCGAUGAAAUGUGAGUUAACAUACUGCAGGCCAUGUAAGGAAUUUAGGACAAGGUUGGCACCUGCAAGGGGAAGUCUAAGUAGAGAAAGACAUAAAAGNNNNNNNNNNNNNNNNNNNNNNNNNNNNNNNNNNNNNNNNNNNNNNNNNNNNNNNNNNNNNNNNNNNNNNNNNNNNNNNNNNNNNNNNNNNNNNNNNNNNGGGUGAAUAGGCUAUUUAAAAACUUCUUCGGAUUUGGCUUGAACCUAAUGCGGAAAUAAACUAAGAGGGUACUUGUCAAGCACAAAUCCUAAAUGCACUAGGCACUGCAACGUGUAUCAACAACACGAUCUACCAAGAUGGACACAAUACAGUUACUAACAAGCACAAGUAAGUUACACAAACUUACUUGAGCUAUAUCACACGACAAGUAGGUGAACAACACAAGAUACUAGAUCACACUAUAUCAACACGAUGUAUCAAGGGAUGCAAGUAUGAACGUGUGGAUAUAGAGGGUAUGCUUGAAUGAUUAAUCUUGUACAAGAAAUGACCAACACAAUAUAAUGAGCACAAGCAAUAUGCAAUGUAUGUAUGCUCAAAUAACACAAGUAAACCACAAGUAAGGAGUUAGGGUUAAGGAUAACCAAGGUCACUGAGACGAAGAUGUAUCCCGAUGUUCACUUCCUUGGAGGGAAGCUAGUCACCGUUAGAGAGGUGGAUGUUACCACGAAGGCACACCAACGCCACGAAGGCUCACCCUAUUCUCCCUUUGAGAUAACACCACGAAGGCGUUUCUCAACCACUAGUGGUAAGCCUUUGAGGUGGAUUCCAAACCCUCACAAACUUUUCCGGGGGAAAUCACACGAAUUGAUUCCUCUCCGAAGAACUCCUACCGCCUAGGAGUCUCCAACCUCCAAGAGUAACAAGAUCACGGGGAAUGCUCAAAACUUGCUCAAAUCACAAAUAGCUUGGGUUGAGAGAAGGAGAGGAAGAAGAUCUAUCUUUUGAUUGGAACAACUCUCAAAGGGGCUCACAAAUGCUCUUGGGAUCUAAGAUUUGGAGUGAGCAAAUGUGUGUGAGGUGGAAAUGUGUUCUUAUGAGGAUAAGGCUGUGUUGGGCCACACUCUCACAAAGUGGGAAGGGGGUAUUUAUAGUAUGGAGAGAAAAAGAGCCGUUGGGGACACUUUAAGUCACACAGGGUCCGGACGUCCGACAGUUGUCGGAAGUCCGGGCGUCCGUGAGGGGCCGGACGUCCGACAGGGGUCGGACGUCCGAGACUUUUAGGCAUGACUGGAACUCUUCUGAAUUCAUCAGCGGCCGGACGUCCGGCAGGGGUCGGUCGUCCGAGGCCUGUAGAUGUGCCUGAACAUAUUUGAAUUCAUCAGCAUACGGACGUCCGGAGUGGCCCGGAAGUCCGUGUUAUACAGCUCAACUUCUACUGGAGGUAGGUUCCAGAUUUCCGACGGGUGUCGGACGUCCGGCGCUCGGUCGUCCGGAGGGAGCCGGAUUUCCGAGAUAUAGAACUCAACUUCUACUGGUGCAGGCUUCCGGAUUUCCGGGACUUGGCCGGACAUCCGGGCCUCGGACGUCCGGAGGUAGCCGGAAGUCCGAGUUAUAUGGCUCUGAUUUCUCUGGUAUAGGAUUCUGGAUUUCCGAACUAGUCAGUCGUCCGGUCCUCGGACGUCCGGAGAAAGCCGGAUGUCCGAGGCACUGGUUCUGUUUUCAGAUAACAACAAAACAGUGGAGAUGUGGUCUGAGCAGAAAGUGAUGAUGUAGUUUGAGCAAGUUCAUCGCAAAACUUGUGAUCCCCUCUUAAUAGUGCGGGAUCCCUAAGGACUCAAGAAUCAUAAAAGAGUACUGAUGAUCCAUACUUGAGUGUAUACUUUUAUUCGCUGAUCAUCACUCCGCACAACUAACGUCAAAGGAACUGAUACCUUUGAGUUAGCCCUUUCACCUGAGCUUGAUGUUGUUGUUCCUUCUUGGCUCAAGUUGAAAGCAAGACAUGAUGAAGUCUUCAAGUAGCUUUCCCAUACACAAUGCGGAAAUCCUAGCUUAUGUAUUCAUCUUCAUUUGUCCACCAUGUGAACAUCCACAAGAAUCAAGCAUGAAGUUCUCAAGAAUGUUUAUCUUGAUCUUGUCCUGUCCACCAUGUGUACAUCCACAAGAAUCAAGCAUGUAGUGCUCAGGAAUGCUUAUCUUGAUCUUGUCCCUGUUAGCACAUGAGGUUGUCCUUGUCAGCACAUGAUCAUUGACAAUAGUUUCAAUGAUAUAUUCGUGCUGAUCCGCUUGAACUUGCACACCACAAUCUUGAUGACGAUCACCACUUGACGUCAUCCUUCAUGGGUUGUUUGAGAUCUUCCUUUUGACGCAAGCCCAAUGGAAACACACCUAACCCCCACAUAGGAGUCUCACAAAGACCAUGGGUUAGUACACAAACACGUAAUGGACAAUGCUUACCAUACCAUGGGAUCACUUGAUCCCUCUCGGUACAUCUUGUACGCUUUGUGUGUUGAUCANNNNNNNNNNNNNNNNNNNNNNNNNNNNNNNNNNNNNNNNNNNNNNNNNNNNNNNNNNNNNNNNNNNNNNNNNNNNNNNNNNNNNNNNNNNNNNNNNNNNCGUCAGAACUAUGACGAGAUUUCGUAACAAAAAUGGUCAACUUAAUGUUACAAUUAUCAAGUUUUAAUAUUCAAAACUUACUAAAUUUGAAAAGUUUUCAAAAUGUAUUCAAGAGUGAUCUUGUCUGUAAGUUUUCGUCGCAACGAACACAAACAUCCAAACGAAAUUUAAUUUCAUCGAAAAGAUCAAAAUCGUGCGGCCGGGGCGGAUGGGUGUCCCCUCCGCACCUAGGUGCGCUUGUGAAUUUCCGCCCUUCUACCUUAUCUUCGCUAGACAGUUACCCUAGGAUAGCUCCCAAGAUAGAUCACCUACGUAGCCUGCUAGUAGUAGCAUAAACGAACGAAGGUGUCGUCAGAACUAUGACGAGAUUUCGUAACAAAAAUGGUCAACUUAAUGUUACAAUUAUCAAGUUUUAAUAUUCAAAACUUACUAAAUUUGAAAAGUUUUCAAAAUGUAUUCAAGAGUGAUCUUGUCUGUAAGUUUUCGUCGCAACGAACACAAAUAUCCAAACGAAAUUUAAUUUCAUCGAAAAGAUCAAAAUCGUGCGGCCGGGGCGGAUGGGUGUCCCCUCCGCACCUAGGUGCGCUUGUGAAUUUCCGCCCUUCUACCUUAUCUUCGCUAGACAGUUACCCUAGGAUAGCUCCCAAGAUAGAUCACCUACGUAGCCUGCUAGUAGUAGCAUAAACGAACGAAGGUGUCGUCAGAACUAUGACGAGAUUUCGUAACAAAAAUGGUCAACUUAAUGUUACAAUUAUCAAGUUUUAAUAUUCAAAACUUACUAAAUUUGAAAAGUUUUCAAAAUGUAUUCAAGAGUGAUCUUGUCUGUAAGUUUUCGUCGCAACGAACACAAACAUCCAAACGAAAUUUAAUUUCAUCGAAAAGAUCAAAAUCGUGCGGCCGGGGCGGAUGGGUGUCCCCUCCGCACCUAGGUGCGCUUGUGAAUUUCCGCCCUUCUACCUUAUCUUCGCUAGACAGUUACCCUAGGAUAGCUCCCAAGAUACAUCACCUACGUAGCCUGCUAGUAGUAGCAUAAACGAACGAAGGUGUCGUCAGAACUAUGACGAGAUUUCGUAACAAAAAUGGUCAACUUAAUGUUACAAUUAUCAAGUUUUAAUAUUCAAAACUUACUAAAUUUGAAAAGUUUUCAAAAUGUAUUCAAGAGUGAUCUUGUCUGUAAGUUUUCGUCGCAACGAACACAAAUAUCCAAACGAAAUUUAAUUUCAUCGAAAAGAUCAAAAUCGUGCGGCCGGGGCGGAUGGGUGUCCCCUCCGCACCUAGGUGCGCUUGUGAAUUUCCGCCCUUCUACCUUAUCUUCGCUAGACAGUUACCCUAGGAUAGCUCCCAAGAUAGAUCACCUUCGUAGCCUGCUAGUAGUAGCAUAAACGAACGAAGGUGUCGUCAGAACUAUGACGAGAUUUCGUAACAAAAAUGGUCAACUUAAUGUUACAAUUAUCAAGUUUUAAUAUUCAAAACUUACUAAAUUUGAAAAGUUUUCAAAAUGUAUUCAAGAGUGAUCUUGUCUGUAAGUUUUCGUCGCAACGAACACAAAUAUCCAAACGAAAUUUAAUUUCAUCGAAAAGAUCAAAAUCGUGCGGCCGGGGCGGAUGGGUGUCCCCUCCGCACCUAGUAGCGCUUGUGAAUUUCCGCCCUUCUACCUUAUCUUCGCUAGACAGUUACCGUAGGAUAGCUCCCAAGAUAGACCACCUUCGUAGCCUGCUAGUAGUAGCACAAACGAACGAAGGUGUCGUCAGAACUAUGACGAGAUUUCGUAACAAAAAUGGUCAACUUAAUGUUACAAUUAUCAAGUUUUAAUAUUCAAAACUUACUAAAUUUGAAAAGUUUUCAAAAUGUAUUCAAGAGUGAUCUUGUCUGUAAGUUUUCGUCGCAACGAACACAAACAUCCAAACGAAAUUUAAUUUCAUCGAAAAGAUCAAAAUCGUGCGGCCGGGGCGGAUGGGUGUCCCCUCCGCACCUAGGUGCGCUUGUGAAUUUCCGCCCUUCUACCUUAUCUUCGCUAGACAGUUACCCUAGGAUAGCUCCCAAGAUAGAUCACCUACGUAGCCUGCUAGUAGUAGCAUAAACGAACGAAGGUGUCGUCAGAACUAUGACGAGAUUUCGUAACAAAAAUGGUCAACUUAAUGUUACAAUUAUCAAGUUUUAAUAUUCAAAACUUACUAAAUUUGAAAAGUUUUCAAAAUGUAUUCAAGAGUGAUCUUGUCUGUAAGUUUUCGUCGCAACGAACACAAAUAUCCAAACGAAAUUUAAUUUCAUCGAAAAGAUCAAAAUCGUGCGGCCGGGGCGGAUGGGUGUCCCCUCCGCACCUAGGUGCGCUUGUGAAUUUCCGCCCUUCUACCUUAUCUUCGCUAGACAGUUACCCUAAAAUAGCUCCCAAGAUAGAUCACCUACGUAGCCUGCUAGUAGUAGCAUAAACGAACGAAGGUGUCGUCAGAACUAUGACGAGAUUUCGUAACAAAAAUGGUCAACUUAAUGUUACAAUUAUCAAGUUUUAAUAUUCAAAACUUACUAAAUUUGAAAAGUUUUCAAAAUGUAUUCAAGAGUGAUCUUGUCUGUAAGUUUUCGUCGCAACGAACACAAAUAUCCAAACGAAAUUUAAUUUCAUCGAAAAGAUCAAAAUCGUGCGGCCGGGGCGGAUGGGUGUCCCCUCCGCACCUAGUAGCGCUUGUGAAUUUCCGCCCUUCUACCUUAUCUUCGCUAGACAGUUACCGUAGGAUAGCUCCCAAGAUAGACCACCUUCGUAGCCUGCUAGUAGUAGCACAAACGAACGAAGGUGUCGUCAGAACUAUGACGAGAUUUCGUAACAAAAAUGGUCAACUUAAUGUUACAAUUAUCAAGUUUUAAUAUUCAAAACUUACUAAAUUUGAAAAGUUUUCAAAAUGUAUUCAAGAGUGAUCUUGUCUGUAAGUUUUCGUCGCAACGAACACAAAUAUCCAAACGAAAUUUAAUUUCAUCGAAAAGAUCAAAAUCGUGCGGCCGGGGCGGAUGGGUGUCCCCUCCGCACCUAGGUGCGCUUGUGAAUUUCCGCCCUUCUACCUUAUCUUCGCUAGACAGUUACCCUAAAAUAGCUCCCAAGAUAGAUCACCUUCGUAGCCUGCUAGUAGUAGCAUAAACGAACGAAGGUGUCGUUAGAACUAUGACGAGANNNNNNNNNNNNNNNNNNNNNNNNNNNNNNNNNNNNNNNNNNNNNNNNNNNNNNNNNNNNNNNNNNNNNNNNNNNNNNNNNNNNNNNNNNNNNNNNNNNNUUAAAGUAAAUUUAAAAACUUUUAAACGUUAGUAAAUUUAAGUUUAACGUAAACUUAAAGUUUUAAGGUUACCGAACCUUUUUAGUUUUUUUACGGUUAAAACGUAAACUUCCGUUCCGUACUAAGUUUACGUUUCGUACGGAACCGAACCCUUACCCGUUUUCCGGUUUUUACGUUUUAGUCGUACCUUACCUUAACGUACGACGGACGGUWMYGYUACKRCUAGCAGGCUACGUAGGUGAUCUAUCUUGGGAGCUAUUUUAGGGUAACUGUCUAGCGAAGAUAAGGUAGAAGGGCGGAAAUUCACAAGCGCACCUAGGUGCGGAGGGGACACCCAUCCGCCCCGGCCGCACGAUUUUGAUCUUUUCGAUGAAAUUAAAUUUCGUUUGGAUAUUUGUGUUCGUUGCGACGAAAACUUACAGACAAGAUCACUCUUGAAUACAUUUUGAAAACUUUUCAAAUUUAGUAAGUUUUGAAUAUUAAAACUUGAUAAUUGUAACAUUAAGUUGACCAUUUUUGUUACGAAAUCUCGUCAUAGUUCUGACGACACCUUCGUUCGUUUAUGCUACUACUAGCAGGCUACGAAGGUGAUCUAUCUUGGGAGCUAUCCUAGGGUAACUGUCUAGCGAAGAUAAGGUAGAAGGGCGGAAAUUCACAAGCGCACCUAGGUGCGGAGGGGACACCCAUCCGCCCCGGCCGCACGAUUUUCAUCUUUUCGAUGAAAUUAAAUUUCGUUUGGAUAUUUGUGUUCGUUGCGACGAAAACUUACAAACAAGAUCACUCUUGAAUACAUUUUGAAAACUUUUCAAAUUUAGUAAGUUUUGAAUAUUAAAACUUGAUAAUUUUAACAUUAAGUUGACCAUUUUUGUUACGAAAUCUCGUCAUAGUUCUUACGACACCUUGGUUCGUUCAUGCUACUACUAGCAGGCUACGAGGGUGAUCUAUCUUGGGAGCUAUCCUAGGGUAAGAGCAUCUCUAGCCGUAGAAACGCAAGCUAUAAAACUGAGGUAGGGAUAAAAAAAGGUAUUUUAAGGAUUUAUUUUAGCUAUGACCGAACAAAAACUAUAAAAUAAACGGUAAACCCCGGAUAAAGAGCUCCUUCCUCCGGUCCGACGGCCGCCGCCCCUUCCUUCAGCCGGUCGUGCCGGCCAGGCCGACCGCGUCCAACCCCGUCGGCCGCGCCCCGUCACCACGCCAGCCGCGCCCAGCCUCAUCGGCCACGCCUUGUCACCGGCCGGCCAUGCCUCGUCGCCCGCCGACACUGUCCUGCUCUGUUGCCAGCCGCGCCGGCCGAGUCGUGCCCCUUUGUCGGUCGUGCCGGGAGGAUUCCGGCAGCUAGGCUGAGGUCAUGGGAGGCCAUGACGAGGUCGAGCUCGUCCAAUGCAAACCGGCAUCGAUCGAUUGCAGCGUCGAACGGCCUUUUCCUGCGUGCGGUGAUGAAUUCCGGCGAAUUUUAGGGGCGGAUUUUCGGGCAAAACUCCGCGACGGGCGUGUUUUGCUCCGACGAGGGUUUUGACCCGCUUACUAGGGCCCCCCCCCUAGGAACUCGACCCUUUCCAACCCUUAAAAAAACUAAANNNNNNNNNNNNNNNNNNNNNNNNNNNNNNNNNNNNNNNNNNNNNNNNNNNNNNNNNNNNNNNNNNNNNNNNNNNNNNNNNNNNNNNNNNNNNNNNNNNNUACGUUUUGGGGUUACCUAAGUUUUACCCUUUUACGUUACCUAAAGUAUUUAAGUUCCAAUUCAAGUCAUACCCUCUAUAUCCACACGUUCAUACUUGCAUCCCUUGAUACAUCGUGUUGAUAUAGUGUGAUCUAGUAUCUUGUGUUGUUCACCUACUUGUCGUGUGAUAUAGCUCAAGUAAGUUUGUGUAACUUACUUGUGCUUGUUAGUAACUGUAUUGUGUCCAUCUUGGUAGAUCGUGUUGUUGAUACACGUUGCAGUGCCUAGUGCAUUUAGGAUUUGUGCUUGACAAGUACCCUCUUAGUUUAUUUCCGCAUUAGGUUCAAGCCAAAUCCGAAGAAGUUUUUAAAUAGCCUAUUCACCCCCCCCCNCCCUCGUACGGCCGUACUACGUUACCGGGUACGGUUUUUCCCUUUUACCGAAGUAGUUAGGAAGGUAACGGGUUCCGUAACCUAACGUUGGUUGGUUCGGUACCGGUUACGGUUCCCGGUUCCCCCGUACCUUAACCGUUUACGGAAGGGUUCACGUAGUUUGGGUUAGGGGGUUAGGGUUACGGGAACCGUAGGGGUUGGGGUUACCGGGACCCCGUUACCUUAGNNNNNNNNNNNNNNNNNNNNNNNNNNNNNNNNNNNNNNNNNNNNNNNNNNNNNNNNNNNNNNNNNNNNNNNNNNNNNNNNNNNNNNNNNNNNNNNNNNNNCAGCAUCGCCGAACUAGACUAGAGGCGAAACAGAUCUAGCGAAAAGCAGAGGGAGCACGUGGCAAUUAGGGUUAGGGUUGCCUCUAAUUCAUCUAGUAUAUAUAGGAGGGAGGGAGGGGGAGGAGGCAGCCUCAAACCCUCAAGGUUUGGUCGAUAUUGGAGGUGGAGGAGUGAUACGUCCAUUUUGCAUCAUGCUUUCAUGUUGAUAUUUAUCGCUUUAUGGACUGUUAUUAUACUUUGUGGAACCUUACUUAUGUCUUUUCUCUGUUAUUUUGCAAGUUUUAUUUGAAGAGGGAGAAUACCGGCAGCUAGAAUUCUGGACUGGAAAAGGAGCAAGUCUGAGUGCUCUAUUCUGCGCAACUCCAAAUGCCCUKAMMUMAGWAAGUUGCAAGGGAACAGUAAAAAGAAGGAAUUAACUAAGUACUAGAGAA